GACGAACGCUGGCGGCGUGCUUAACACAUGCAAGUCGAACGAUGAAGAAAAGAAUCGAAGCUUCGGCAGAAAUUCAUUUCGGAUUAGUGGCAGACGGGUGAGUAACGCGUGAGCAACCUACCUCUUACAAAGGGAUAGCCUCGGGAAACCGGGAUUAAUACCAUAUAACAUUUUGACGAAGCAUUUCGAUGCAAUCAAAGCUACGGCGGGCAGAGAUGGGCUCGCGUCCCAUUAACCGGAUGGUGAGGUAACGGCACACCAUAGCGACGAUGGGUAACCGGGCUGAGAGGGUGGGCGCUCACACUGGAGCUGAGACACGGUCCAGACUCCUACGGGAGGCAGCAGUGGGGGAUAUUGCACAGUGGAGGGAACUCUGAUGCAGCGACGCCGCGAGAGUGAUGAAGGAAUUCAUUUCGUAAAGCUCUAUUCUAUAGGAAGAAAAUGACUGUACCAUAGGAGAAAGCUCCGGCUAACUACGUG
rnacentral:rRNA from 1 species